GUAUCUAAACUGUAAAGAAAACUAAUUUGCUGAGUCGAUUGUGGAAACGGGUUCGAUUCCCGUCAUCUCCACCA
rnacentral:tRNA from 8 species